rnacentral:rRNA from 1 species
UACGAGGGGGGCGAGCGUUGUUCGGAAUUAUUGGGCGUAAAGGGUGCGUAGGCGGUUUGGUAAGUCUUGUGUGAAAUCUUCGGGCUCAACUCGAAGUCUGCACGAGAAACUGCCGGGCUUGAGUAUGGGAGAGGUGAGUGGAAUUCCCGGUGUAGCGGUGAAAUGCGUAGAUAUCGGAAGGAACAUCAGUGGCGAAAGCGACUUCCUGGACCAAUACUGACGCUCAUGUGCGAAAGCGUGGGGAGCAAACAGG